rnacentral:rRNA from 1 species
CUCCCUACGGGGCGCAGCAGGGGCGAAAACUUUACAAUGCAGGCAACUGCGAUAAGGGAACACCGAGUGGCGUUCAUAAUGGAUGUCUGUCCCACCGCUCUAAAAAAUGGUGGUUAGCAAGGGCCGGGCAAGACCGGUGCCAGCCGCCGCGGUAAUACCGGCGGCUCGAGUGGUGGCCGAUAUUAUUGAGUCUAAAGGGUCCGUAGCCGGCUUUGCAAGUCCUGUGGGAAAUCCAGCGGCUUAACCGUUGGGCGUCCGCGGGGUACUACAUUGCUUGGGACUGGGAGAGGUAGGAGGUACUCAGGGGGUAGGAGUGAAAUCCUGUAAUCCA